GCGAAAGUGGCGGAAUUUGGUAGACGCGCUGGCUUUAGGUGCCAGUGGGGAAACCCGUGAGAGUUCGAGUCUCUCCUUUCGCACCA
rnacentral:tRNA from 2 species